UAUAAGUAGAAACGGAAUUGUUUUAUUAAAUUUUACCUGUUGACUUAGUGAAAUGUUUGAGACAAAUCAAAAUUUGCAUUUACUUUCCUUUUUGUUUUUAUAUUUGAAAGAGAAGAAAGUGUACUGCAGUUUUGUCUCUAGGUAUUUACUUAUCUGCUUGUAAAUGCUGGGACUUCGUAUUUUCCUACUCUAACCUUUGAGGUUGGGGAUUUUUAUUUUUAUUUUUUCACAAAACCUAUGUUUGACUGUCAAGUAAGUAUAAUAUCCUCUUGCCUCUGGCUCUUUUCUGGGGAGCUAAAGGUUAUUUGGGUCAGCAGUGCUGCUCAAAAGUAGAAUUAUGAAAAUGCUGGAGAGAGAGAAGAGCUUUUCUCGUGUAUGAGGAAAUGGAAGUGAGGCAAGGUACUGGAGUUGAAGGAGUGGGUAGCAGAGCACAUUACAUUCUGUGAGUACAUGAGUAACACGCUGCGUUUUCUGUUCACUUACAGAGGGAUAGUCAUUGAGUACACUUUACUGGGGUGAGCAGUUUUGAUUACUCUCUGACUAUAUCUGUGUUGCAUUACUUUUCUCAUACUUCCCUUAGAGAAAAGACCUAGUUUUAGAAUCACAGAAUCAUAGAAGCAUUUAGGUUGGAAAAGACCUUUAAGAUCAUUGAGUAGUCCAACCGUAAACCUAGCACUGCCAAGUCCACCACUGAACCAUGUCCCUAAGUGCCACAUCUACACGUCUUUUAAAUACCUCCAGGGAUGGUGACUCAACCCCUUCCCUGGGCAGCCAGUUCCAACGCUUGACAACCCUUUCGGUGAAGACAUUUUUCCUACUGUCCAAUCUAAACCUCCCCUGGCACAACUUGAGGCUGUUUCCUCUUGUCUUAUCCCUUGUCACUUGGGAGAAAACCCCCUGUUUCUUUAUGGAAACAGUUCUCUAGAGGAAAACAUUUUUUUUUUUCCUAACAGUAAGCAAAGGAGUAACUAUGUAUGUGCCUGGAUGUGGUGAGUUGCCUGAACAGGAGCUGGAGUGCUUCAUGGAGAGGGAGCAGGCUUAUGGGAGCUGGAGAGGAAGCAAUGAGAAACUAGUGUUCUCUCUUGGGUGCUCUGCUUUCUUCUGUUUGACACUGAAUACUUCCUCCACUGUAACGUUAAGGCCUGGUAAGUUUUAUCAGGUUAUGCAGAUAUUCUACAGUCAUUGCAUACUGGUGGAGGAUGGAGGGAUUCCCAUGGCACCGCUAAGACAGUAAAGAACUCCUGGAGUAAGCCCAUGGACUGCUGCGCUGCAGGAUCUUCUCUGAGAACCAACAACGCCCAAAGCCAUCAACUUCCCCAAGCGGUUCAAGACACAGAAAAACCACUUUGAACUUGUUUGUAUGUUGCAAUUUAUCAUUUGAGAGAGAUGAACUGCUUGAAAUUUGGUAGUUUGUGCUUAUCCAAACGCACAAGUGUGAUUGCAGAUGUGAAAAUGACUGGAGUUGCCCAGAGGCACAGCAGUACCGUGUUGGGGCUGCAGCAGGCGGAGCAAAGAGUCACUGCAUUCGUACGUAAUUCAUCUGGUAGAAUUUGUCAGUAGAAGGAAAGUCUGCAGCUGACUGGGACAGAGAAGCAUGAGAGAAACCACACCUGACUAAGCAAGCAGGACAGGGUGAGCCAGCAAAAAUGCCUAUUUCUUACCUGUGGUCUUUUGGACAAACAUACAUUGUAUCAAUCCAUGACAUCAGACAAACCUUCUUUUAAAAACAUUGAUGUAAAAAUGAGGUCUUGAGUGGUCAUUUAUGGUUCAAGUAGUAGUUUAUAUAUUUAUUAUAAUUAUACACAACCUUGACAAUCUAUAUUGCCAUUCAAAAAUAAAUUGCAGUAUUGUCAAUUUGCA